AAAACCCAAACACCAAAAAAAUCAACAGCACCACCCGAUGAUCGUCGCUACAACAGCGAUCUGAGCAUCAUUGCAGUGGCACAUUUUCGUCUUCUCAACAUCGCUUCGAUAGCAAGACGCCGCGCGUUCAACUCUCUUCUCAGCACCACUGUGACAGGGGCGAUUAUGCCACUGCACAGGCACUACCGCAGCAGCGAUGCGUGGCUUCUUUUCAUAGAAGCACUCUGGCAAUGAGGAUGUCUAAUGGGGG
rnacentral:lncRNA from 1 species